rnacentral:misc_RNA from 1 species
GAUGAAGAACGCAGCGAAAUGCGAUAAGUAGUGUGAAUUGCAGAAUUCAGUGAAUCAUCGAAUCUUUGAACGCACAUUGCGCCCCUUGGUAUUCCAUGGGGCAUGCCUGUUCGAGCGUCAUUUGUACCUUCAAGCUCUGCUUGGUGUUGGGUGUUUGUCUCGCCUCUGCGUGUAGACUCGCCUCAAAACAAUUGGCAGCCGGCGUAUUGAUUUCGGAGCGCAGUACAUCUCGCGCUUUGCACUCAUAACGACGACGUCCAAAAGUACAUUUUUACACUCUUGACCUCGGAUCAGGUAGGGACACCCGCUGAACUUAAGCAUAUCAAUAAGCGGAGGA